rnacentral:rRNA from 1 species
UGCAGUCGACGCGAAAGUCAGCAAUGAUGAGUAGAGUGGCGCACGGGUGAGUAACACGUAAAUGAUCUGUCUAGGACACUGGGAUAACCGUUCGAAAGGAUGGCUAAUACCGGAUAAGCCCACGACCUUGGGGUUGCGGGAAAAGGGUUGGGACCUUACGAGGCCAAUCGGUUUUAGAGGAGUUUGCGUCCCAUCAGGUAGUUGGCGGGGUAACGGCCCACCAAGCCAAAGACGGGUAGCUGGUCUGAGAGGAUGAUCAGCCACACUGGAACUGAGACACGGUCCAGACUCCUACGGGAGGCAGCAGUGGGGAAUCUUGCGCAAUGGGCGAAAGCCUGACGCAGCAACGCCGCGUGGGUGAUGAAGGUCUUCGGAUCGUAAAGCCCUGUCGGAGGGGACAAAGCUUAUUUCGUCUAACAGAUGGAGUAGGUGAUGGUACCUUCAAAGGAAGCACCGGCUAACUCUGUGCCAGCAGCCGCGGUAAUACAGAGGGUGCAAGCGUUGUUCGGAAUUAUUGGGCGUAAAGGGAGUGUAGGCGGUUUUAUAAGUCUUCUGUGAAAUCUACGGGCUUAGCCUGUAACGUGCAGAAGAGACUGUAGAGCUUGAGUGUCGGAGAGGAAAGUGGAAUUCCCGGUGUAGAGGUGAAAUUCGUAGAGAUCGGGAGGAACACCAGUGGCGAAGGCGACUUUCUGGCUGACAACUGACGCUGAGACUCG